ensembl:lncRNA
UGAGUCCUUUCUGAAUGACUGUCUCAGCCUUUUCUUUCCUGGGACGAACAUUCGCAGACGACAAGACCAGCCUCGCUGCAAGAGAAUCUAAGGACAGGAGCAUUCCUGCCCUCCUAGCACUACAGGAGGGGAAGGCAACAGGGCGGGGCUACGAAUGCCACGAGGGAACCAAUCCACAGGGUCUGCUACAGUUAAAAAGCAACGUCAAUGACCGGGACUUCCUGUCCCUAAUGGGUGUGCUUUGUGGUAUAGAUGGAUCACACAUAAGUUGUCUAGCCAGCGCUGUGUUGCCAGAUACCUUGCUGGUGGUCCAGGCUUUUAUUGUGAAAAUGAACAUCCUGGUACAAUUCUGAUAACCGUGCCCAGCUGAUCUUCCAUAAUAUUGCAUGAGGCUGCAGUUCCACCAACUGUGGACGAGAGCUCACCACUCUGCUGCCAGUGCCAGUAAUCUUCUGAAGUUCCGACUGCCUCGUGUUUGUUGCAAAAGCUCCUCCCCAUUCUGGCUCCUGCCUUGCCUCUGUGGAGCAGGACUUCAGAGCUACCUGAGAGGCUGCAUCCUGGGCUAUCGUCCUCAGAGUACAUCGUGAGAAACGCUGGGCUAGAAGAAGCACAAGCUGGAAUCAAGAUUGCUGGGAGAAAUAUCGAUAACCUCAGAUAUGCAGAUGACACCACCCUUAUGGCAGAAAGUGAAGAAGAACUAAAAAGCCUUGAUGAAAGUGAAAGAGGAGAGUGAAAAGGUUGGCUUAAAGCUCAACAUUCAGAAAACUAAGAUCAUAACCCUGUAUGCGAGACAGCAAAAGAGACACAGAUGUGUAGAACAGUUUUUUGGACUCUGUGGGAGAGGG